UAAGCGGAGGAAAAGAAACUAACAAGGAUUCCCCUAGUAACUGCGAGUGAAGCGGGAAAAGCUCAAAUUUGGAAUCUGGUGGUCUUUGGCCAUCCGAGUUGUAAUUUAGAGAAGCGUCUUCCGCGCUGGACCGUGCACAAGUCUCCUGGAAUGGAGCGUCAUAGAGGGUGAGAAUCCCGUCUUUGGCAUGGAAUCCCAGGGCUUCGGUGAUGCGCUCUCGACGAGUCGAGUUGUUUGGGAAUGCAGCUCAAAAUGGGUGGUGAACUCCAUCUAAAGCCAAAUAUUGGCGAGAGACCGAUAGCGAACAAGUACCGUGAGGGAAAGAUGAAAAGCACUUUGGAAAGAGAGUGAAACAGUACGUGAAAUUGUUGAAAGGGAAACGCUUGAAGUCAGUCGCGUCGACCGAGACUCAGCCUUGCCUCGGCUUGGUGUACUUCUCGGCUUGACGGGUCAGCAUCGAUUUCAAUCCUCGGAUAAUGGCAAGGGAAGGGUAGCACCUUUUUAGGUGUGUUAUAGUCCUCUGUCGCAUGCGAGGGUCGGGAUCGAGGAACUCAGCACGCACCUCAGGGUGUCGGGGCCUUGGCCCACGUUUACGUGCUUAGGAUGCUGGCGUAAUGGCUUUAAACGACC
rnacentral:rRNA from 1 species